CAGGUGGGUGCACCACCCACUCCACCACAACGCCACAACACCACCCACAUUCACCACUUAAGCCAAUUUUGAUAGCGGCUUAUUGAUGGCCGAGCGAAUGGCGAUUUGUGCGUUAGUCUCGCUCGAGCUCGCCGAUUGAAUCAGUGCGGAAAUGGGACGAGGACGAGAUCGAUGGGCAGUUCGUGGUCUGCAAUCUGUGCCCUUGUGCCCCUGUGCGACUCAGGCUAGCUGCUUCUAGCACUUGAUAUAUUGAAACGCCGGAUCGACAAGGCUUCAGAUGUGAGGAAAUGUCGACUGGCACUUCCUUUAGCGAGUAUUGUUAACCGCUGCUAUGCCCAUCAAUUAUGCCGUAAUUAUCCUUGGGCUGAGCCCCGGCUAGCUCAUUGUGCAGCAACUAUGCGGCACAUUCUAUAUAUCCUAUCCUGCAUCCUUAGGCCCUAGUGCUUAGCCCUCAUACCCUGGCGCUCUGAUUUUUCCACCUUGCUGGCCAACUAUGCAGCUCAUCCGCUCCGCUGAACGCCGCCAGAAGGAAGUGCCGUACAGGCCGUACAGGACCAAAAUCGCAGGACGCAGACUGCGGUAUGCAGGACUCGGAUCGCUGCAAACCAGUUGAAAAAACACAACGGGCCGAAGAACACAAACACAAGGACAGCUCUUUGUUUGCAGAAAGCGAAAGAGAGGUGAAAUUAAAAUCAAGCUGUUGAUAGCAA
rnacentral:sRNA from 1 species